UUACGGUCAUAAGACAUUGAAACACCAUUUCCCGUACGAUCACCGAAGUUAAGCAAUGUUGAGCCUGGUCACUACUUAGAUGGGUGACCGCU